AUGUUUACUUUGGCAGCACAUAUACUAAAAUUGGAAUGACACAGAGAUCAGCAUGGCCCCUGUGCAGGGAUGACAUGCAAAUUCAUGAGGCGUUCCAUAUUUAA
ensembl:snRNA U6 U6 spliceosomal RNA